rnacentral:rRNA from 1 species
AGUGAACGCUGGCGGUAGGCCUAACACAUGCAAGUCGAACGGCAGCACAGUAAGAGCUUGCUCUUACGGGUGGCGAGUGGCGGACGGGUGAGGAAUACAUCGGAAUCUACUUUUUCGUGGGGGAUAACGUAGGGAAACUUACGCUAAUACCGCAUACGACCUACGGGUGAAAGCAGUGGAUCUUCGGACCUUGCGCGAUUGAAUGAGCCGAUGUCGGAUUAGCUAGUUGGCGGGGUAAAGGCCCACCAAGGCGACGAUCCGUAGCUGGUCUGAGAGGAUGAUCAGCCACACUGGAACUGAGACACGGUCCAGACUCCUACGGGAGGCAGCAGUGGGGAAUAUUGGACAAUGGGCGCAAGCCUGACCCAGCCAUACCGCGUGGGUGAAGAAGGCCUUCGGGUUGUAAAGCCCUUUUGUUGGGAAAGAAAAGCAGCAGGUUAAUACCCCGCUGUUCUGACGGUACCCAAAGAAUAAGCACCGGCUAACUUCGUG